GAUGAACGCUGGCGGCGUGCCUAAUACAUGCAAGUCGAGCGAACAGACGAGGAGCUUGCUCCUCUGACGUUAGCGGCGGACGGGUGAGUAACACGUGGAUAACCUACCUAUAUGACUGGGAUAACUUCGGGAAACCGGAGCUAAUACCGGAUAAUAUAUUGAACCGCAUGGUUCAAUAGUGAAAGACGGUUUUGCUGUCACUUAUAGAUGGAUCCGCGCCGCAUUGGCUAGUUGGUAAGGUAACGGCUUACCAAGGCAACGAUGCGUAGCCGACCUGAGAGGGUGAUCGGCCACACUGGAACUGAGACACGGUCCAGACUCCUACGGGAGGCAGCAGUAGGGAAUCUUCCGCAAUGGGCGAAAGCCUGACGGAGCAACGCCGCGUGAGUGAUGAAGGUCUUCGGAUCGUAAAACUCUGUUAUUAAGGAAGAACAAAUGUGUAAGUAACUAUGCACGUCUUGACGGUACCUAAUCAGAAAGCCACGGCUAACUACGUG
rnacentral:rRNA from 1 species